rnacentral:rRNA from 1 species
UACGGGGGGGGGGCAAGCGUUGUUCGGAAUUACUGGGCGUAAAGGGCUGGUAGGCGGCCAACUAAGUCGGAUGUGAAAUCCCCAGGCUUAACCUGGGAACUGCAUCCGAUACUGGUCGGCUUGAAUCCGGGAGAGGGAUGCAGAAUUCCAGGUGUAGCGGUGAAAUGCGUAGAUAUCUGGAGGAAUACCGGUGGCCGAAGGCGGCAUCCUGGACCGGCAUGACGCUGAACAGCGAAAGCUAGGGGAGCAAACGGG